ensembl:lncRNA
UAACUGGGACAUAGGAGGGAGUGUGUGAGGACUCAGUGGGGACCUAACUGGGACAUAGGAGGGGUUGUGUGAGGACUCAGUGGGGACCUAACUGGGACAUAGGAGGGAGUGUGUGAGGACUCAGUGGGGACCUAACUGGGACAUAGGAGGGAGUGUGUGAGGACUCAGUGGGGACCUAACUGGGACAUAGGAGGGAGUGUGUGAGGACUCAGUGGGGACCUAACUGGGACAUAGGAGGGAGUGUGUGAGGACUCAGUAGACUUGGUGGAAGUGUAAGGACUAAGUUGGGACUUAGUGAGGGCUUGGUGGGAGUGUUAGUGAGGUUAGCCCUCACCCAGUGGGGACUGUUUGCUGAGGUAGUGGGAGGGUUAGUGGGGACUGUAUGAUGAGGUAGUGUUAGUGGGGACUGUAUGAUGAGGUAGUGUUAGUGGGGACUGUAUGAUGAGGUAGUGUUAGUGGGGACUGUAUGAUGAGGUAGUGUUAGUGGGGACUGUAUGAUGAGGGAGUGUUAGUGGGGACUGUAUGAUGAGGUAGUGUUAGUGGGGACUGUAUGAUGAGUGUUAGUGGGGAGUGU